UGGGGAAUAUUGGACAAUGGGCGCAAGCCUGAUCCAGCCAUGCCGCGUGCAGGAAGAAGCAUCUAUGGUGUGUAAACUGCUUUUGUACGGGAAGAAACACUCCUACGUGUAGGAGCUUGACGGUACCGUAAGAAUAAGGAUCGGCUAACUCCGUGCCAGCAGCCGCGGUAAUACGGAGGAUCCAAGCGUUAUCCGGAAUCAUUGGGUUUAAAGGGUCCGUAGGCGGUUUAAUAAGUCAGUGGUGAAAGCCCAUCGCUCAACGAUGGAACGGCCAUUGAUACUGUUCGACGUGAAUUACAAGGAAGUAACUAGAAUAUGUAGUGUAGCGGUGAAAUGCUUAGAUAUUACAUGGAAUACCAAUUGCGAAGGCAGGUUACUACUUGUGGAUUGACGCUGAUGGACGAAAGCGUGGGGAGCGAAC
rnacentral:rRNA from 1 species